AGCCUAAACCAUCGGAGAAAUCCGAUGGCAUGGCUCAAAAGACCCAUCGCUGAUACUGAACCCCGCGUUCAGCAACUCAGCGAUGGGCCAUAUCCCGAAAGGGGUGUGGGGCCGCAAGGCCU
rnacentral:sRNA from 12 species